AACUGGGAUUAGAUACCCCACUAUGCCUAGCCGUAAACAAAAGUGACUAACCUACACCACCUCGCUUGCCAGGGAACUACGAGCCCCAGCUUAAAACCCAAAGGACUUGGCGGUGCUUUAGACCCCCCUAGAGGAGCCUGUUCUA
rnacentral:rRNA from 2 species